rnacentral:lncRNA from 1 species
GAGCACUCAAACUGUGUGACCCCCAAGGCCUACACUCCGAAGAGUCCGUCAGGGCCUCUCCCUCCUGAUUCAGGUCCAACCCAGAAAACAUUUUAGCACACAGACUCUAUCUAUGAACUAUACAAAACACACGACUCCUCAAUUGUUCUCAAAAUAAUUUUAACUCGUCACCCUUUAAGGGUCUUAUCAUUAACUCGUCGCCCUUAAAGGGACUUAAC